AGUAAUAGCCUAGGAAUCUGCCUGGUAGUGGGGGACAACGUUUCGAAAGGAACGCUAAUACCGCAUACGUCCUACGGGAGAAAGCAGGGGACCUUCGGGCCUUGCGCUAUCAGAUGAGCCUAGGUCGGAUUAGCUAGUUGGUGAGGUAAUGGCUCACCAAGGCGACGAUCCGUAACUGGUCUGAGAGGAUGAUCAGUCACACUGGAACUGAGACACGGUCCAGACUCCUACGGGAGGCAGCAGCG
rnacentral:rRNA from 1 species